UACGAAGGUCCCAAGCGUUAUCCGGAUUUAUUGGGUUUAAAGGGUGCGUAGGCGGGUUGUUAAGUCAGUGGUGAAAGCUCCAUGCCUAACAUGGAAAUUGCCAUUGAUACUGAUGAUCUUGAGUACAUUUGAAGUGGGCGGAAUGUGUCAUGUAGUGGUGAAAUACUUAGAUAUGACACAGAACACCGAUUGCGUAGGCAGCUCACUAAACUGUAACUGACGCUGAGGCACGAAAGCGUGGGGAGCAAACAGG
rnacentral:rRNA from 1 species